GACGAACGCUGGCGGCGUGCCUAAUACAUGCAAGUCGAGCGAACGGAGAAGAAGCUUGCUUCUUCAAAGUUAGCGGCGGACGGGUGAGUAACACGUGGGCAAUCUGCCCGUAAGACUGGGAUAACUCCGGGAAACCGGGGCUAAUACCGGAUAAUUCCGAUCCUCUCCUGAGGAUCGGCUGAAAGACGGUUUCGGCUGCCACUUACGGAUGAGCCCGCGGCGCAUUAGCUAGUUGGCGGGGUAAUGGCCCACCAAGGCGACGAUGCGUAGCCGACAUGAGAGGGGGAUCGGCCACACUGGGACGGAGACACGGCCCAGACUCCUACGGGAGGCAGCAGUAGGGAAUCUUCCGCAAUGGACGAAAGUCUGACGGAGCGACACCGCGUGGAGGACGAAGGCCUUCGGGUUGUAAACUCCUUUUCCAGGGGAAGAGUAAGGGUAAGAGGAAAUGCUUAUCCGAUGACGGUACUCUGGGAAUAAGCCACGGCUAACUCUGUGCCAGCAGCCGCGGUAACAC
rnacentral:rRNA from 1 species